rnacentral:rRNA from 1 species
UACGUAGGGGGCAAGCGUUGUCCGGAAUUAUUGGGCGUAAAGAGCUCGUAGGCGGUUUGUCGCGUCGACUGUGAAAACCUACAGCUUAACUGUGGGCUUGCAGUCGAUACGGGCAGACUUGAGUUCGGUAGGGGAGACUGGAAUUCCUGGUGUAGCGGUGAAAUGCGCAGAUAUCAGGAGGAACACCGGUGGCGAAGGCGGGUCUCUGGGCCGAUACUGACGCUGAGGAGCGAAAGCGUGGGGAGCGAACAGG